rnacentral:rRNA from 1 species
AUUGAACGCUGGCGGCAGGCCUAACACAUGCAAGUCGAGCGGAUGAAGGGAGCUUGCUCCUGGAUUCAGCGGCGGACGGGUGAGUAAGGCCUAGGAAUCUGCCUGGUAGUGGGGGAUAACGUCCGUAAACGGGCGCUAAUACCGCAUACGUCCUGAGGGAGAAAGGGGGGGAUCUUCGGACCUCACGCUAUCAGAUGAGCCUAGGUCGGAUUAGCUAGUUGGUGGGGUAAAGGCCUACCAAGGCGACGAUCCGUAACUGGUCUGAGAGGAUGAUCAGUCACACUGGAACUGAGACACGGUCCAGACUCCUACGGGAGGCAGCAGUGGGGAAUAUUGGACAAUGGGCGAAAGCCUGAUCCAGCCAUGCCGCGUGUGUGAAGAAGGUCUUCGGAUUGUAAAGCACUUUAAGUUGGGAGGAAGGGCAGUAAGUUAAUACCUUGCUGUUUUGACGUUACCAACAGAAUAAGCACCGGCUAACUUCGUG